CCUACGGGUGGCAGCAGUGAGGAAUAUUGGUCAAUGGACGAGAGUCUGAACCAGCCAAGUAGCGUGCAGGAUGACUGCCCUCUGGGUUGUAAACUUCUUUUAUAUGGGAAUAAAAUGUUCCACGUGUGGGAUUUUGUAUGUACCAUAUGAAUAAGGAUCGGCUAACUCCGUGCCAGCAGCCCCGGUAAUACGGAGGAGCCGAGCGUUAUCCGGAUUUAUUGGGUUUAAAGGGAGCGUAGGUGGAUUGUUAAGUCAGUUGUGAAAGUUUGCGGCUCAAACGUAAAAUUUCAGUUGAAACGGGCAGUCUUGAGGACCGUAGAGGUGGGCGGAAUUCGUGGUGGAGCGGUGAAAUGGUUAGAUAGUACGAAGAACUCCGAUUGCGAAGGCAGAUCACUGGACUGCAACUGACACGGAGGCUUGAAAGGGUCGGUAUCAAACCGGAAUAGAUAACCUUGUAGUC
rnacentral:rRNA from 1 species